rnacentral:miRNA from 1 species
UAGAGGGUCCCCAUGUUCUCA